rnacentral:rRNA from 1 species
GAGGGGGAUAACUACUGGAAACGGUAGCUAAUACCGCAUAAUGUCGCAAGACCAAAGAGGGGGACCUUCGGGCCUCUUGCCAUCAGAUGUGCCCAGAUGGGAUUAGCUUGUUGGUGGGGUAACGGCUCACCAAGGCGACGAUCCCUAGCUGGUCUGAGAGGAUGACCAGCCACACUGGAACUGAGACACGGUCCAG